ACUCGGGAAGAAGGUGCCGGAGGCUUGCCGGGCGGCCUUGCGGUUUGAAGCCGUGAGUCACCUUCUGGCUGCAAGUCAAGGGACUCUCACUGCGCCCUUGUUUGGACAAGACGAGGAGGCGCACUCGAGUCAGAGACCGGCGCAGAGACGGGGGCAAGGAGAAGGGGCCACCGAGACCCCAAGAGGCUCGGGGAGACAGACGCACAAAGCGACCGACACAGCAGGGACAGCAGGGAGGAAAAGUUGCCUAUCUGUUGGGUCGGAUUUCUGAAGACUGAUGAGGCCCAUUUUCUGACAAAUGGCAAGAGUUUAGAAAGUACCAGUGACGUGCCUGAUAGAAUCUCACCACAAGAUGGAAGCCAACUCAUCAGAAGCCUGGAAAGCCCACCCGGCGUGGGACCUCUGUGGGUCCAGGAUCUUGGAAUGGCAUCCCAUGGCUUAAUCUUCCGGAUUCAACCAAAUAAAGUUACCCCACCCAUGUCGUGGACCCAAGCUCCUACCAUGUAUCCUUAGCUUAAAUGCAAGAUAGUUCUAUUUUGUUCAUCUUGAUUGGAGUGAGAAAUGAAUAGGUCCAUGCACAUAUACUUCUUUUACCACAAGAUGAUGAAGAAAUAAAUCCUUAAUAUUGAUAUUUUUGUAUAAGUUGUGUUUACAGUUGCAGUAAGAAAUUUUAUAAUCAUUGAUUUGCUUUAUAAAAUUUCUGCUUGCUUUUUAUGAUAUUUAAAACAAAAUCUAUGCAACAAAUUUUAUGUCUGAUUAGAUUUACAGAAGCUGCUUAAGUGCUUAGGGAUAAUUUGUUCAUCAUAUAUGUAAGUCUCCCUUGUUAGGUGUUUGAAGUGUUUGAAUUGGCUAAAUUAAAUUUGUAAUUGUAGUUUGAAAUAUCUAAAGGAAUUUUCUUAAUUAAAUGUUUAAAUGAUGUUAAAAGUUUAUGGGAAUUUAAUCUAUCAAAUUUAUGAGUUAAUUGAAUAUGAAUCAAUGAACAAGUAAAUGUGAUCUUGCUUUUAUAUAAAGACUACUAAGUUCAUAAAUAAAAUACAAAGAUCCAUAAGUUGAGAGGAAAAGCAAAAGCAAGAGCUAGAUUCUAAGAUCUAUAACUUAAAAAAAUUAAAUAUUGAUUGAAAUGUAAGUCAUUGUAAUUAUCCCCACUAGCUGAAAUCUCAAAUCUGAAUGCUUAUACACAAAACAAAAUGUUACCCUGAACAUACUAAACAAAUA